AGCAGUGGGGAAUAUUGGACAAUGGGCGAAAGCCUGAUCCAGCAAUGCCGCGUGUGUGAAGAAGGUCUUCGGAUUGUAAAGCACUUUCGACGGGGACGAUGAUGACGGUACCCGUAGAAGAAGCCCCGGCUAACUUCGUGCCAGCAGCCGCGGUAAUACGAAGGGGGCUAGCGUUGCUCGGAAUGACUGGGCGUAAAGGGCGCGUAGGCGGAUCACGCAGUCAGAUGUGAAAUUCCUGGGCUUAACCUGGGGGCUGCAUUUGAGACGCGUGGUCUAGAGUGUGAAAGAGGGUCGUGGAAUUCCCAGUGUAGAGGUGAAAUUCGUAGAUAUUGGAAGAACACCGGUGGCGAACGCGGCGACCUGGUUCAUGACUGACGCUGAGG
rnacentral:rRNA from 1 species